GUGGGUAGUUUGACUGGGGCGGUCUCCUCCUAAAGAGUAACGGAGGAGCACGAAGGUUGGCUAAUCCUGGUCGGACAUCAGGAGGUUAGUGCAAUGGCAUAAGCCAGCUUGACUGCGAGCGUGACGGCGCGAGCAGGUGCGAAAGCAGGUCAUAGUGAUCCGGUGGUUCUGAAUGGAAGGGCCAUCGCUCAACGGAUAAAAGGUACUCCGGGGAUAACAGGCUGAUACCGCCCAAGAGUUCAUAUCGACGGCGGUGUUUGGCACCUCGAUGUCGGCUCAUCACAUCCUGGGGCUGAAGUAGGUCCCAAGGGUAUGGCUGUUCGCCAUUUAAAGUGGUACGCGAGCUGGGUUUAGAACGUCGUGAGACAGUUCGGUCCCUAUCUGCCGUGGGCGCUGGAGAAUUGAGGGGGGCUGCUCCUAGUACGAGAGGACCGGAGUGGACGCAUCACUGGUGUUCGGGUUGUCAUGCCAAUGGCACUGCCCGGUAGCUAAAUGCGGAAG
rnacentral:rRNA from 1 species